rfam:Lottia gigantea unplaced genomic scaffold LOTGIsca_43, whole genome shotgun sequence.
AAAACGGUUCUUUUCAGAACCCCCUAAAUCUAAGAAAGAGAAAGCUU